ensembl:lncRNA
CCCAUCGAUAACACCGGGACCCACCAUAUUGAGACCCCCAUUAUUGGGACCCCCAUAUUGGCACCCCCAUAUUGGGACCCCCCCCCAUAGGUAACACCGGGACCCCCAUAUUGGGACCCCCCCUCCCCCAUAGGUAACACUGGAAUCCCAUACUGGGACCCCCAUCCCCAUAGGUGACACUGGGACCCCCAUAUUGGGACCCCCAUAUUGGGACCCCCCCCAUAGAUAUUGUCACCCCAUAGGUGACACCGGGACCCCCAGAGUGGGGCAGGGGCAGUGGGACCCCACAGGGGUGGCACCGGGACCCCAAAGUGGGGCAAAGUGGGACCCCACAGGGGUGGCACCGGGACCCCAAAGUGGGGCAGGGGCAGUG